rnacentral:rRNA from 1 species
UACAGAGGGUGCUAGCGUUGUUCGGAAUUAUUGGGCGUAAAGGGCGCGUAGGCGGCCCUGUGUGUCGGGUGUGAAAGCCCACCUCUUAAAGGUGGAAUUGCAUUCGAAACUACAGGGCUGGAGUGUCGGAGAGGAUGGCGGAAUUCCUGGUGUAGAGGUGAAAUUCGUAGAUAUCAGGAGGAACACCGGUGGCGAAGGCGGCCAUCUGGACGACAACGUGACGCUGAGGCGCGAAAGCGUGGGGAUCAAACAGG